rnacentral:rRNA from 1 species
UACGAAAGGGGCUAGCGUUUUUCGGAAUUACUGGGCGUAAAGCGCACGUAGGCGGCCUUGUAAGAUGGGGGUGAAAUCCCCGGGCUCAACCCGGGAACUGCCUUCAUGACUGCAAAGCUAGAGGAUGCGAGAGGUUAGCGGAAUUCCGAGUGUAGAGGUGAAAUUCGUAGAUAUUCGGAAGAACACCAGUGGCGAAGGCGGCUAACUGGCGCAUUUCUGACGCUGAGGUGCGGAAGCGUGGGGCGCAUACAGG